UUGGUCGGUGGGCUGAAGGGCACAUGCAUGAUAAGGACGGCACAGCCUUUGUGUGUCAUCAUAUGCAAAUGAGCAGGGAGCAUUAAAACUCUCGAGCGAGGAGUCAACGUUUACGAUCACUUCACAGCAUGGAGACAACAGACAUGUGAAAACAAAAGUGUUAAGACGCGUAAAGGUGACAGAUGUAGGCAAUUAAACCGCUCUUCAACACUUCCUGCUGGACGACUGAAGACGCACAUCUAAAGACAGGAUAUCAUCGUAUACUGUAAGUUCAUUAUUGAGACACUACAGUAUAGAUGAUGUACUAUCCAGGGGGUCAACAAGCCUCUGACGGUUUCCUGUGGACAAACACAAACGCUGUGACAGAGAGAGGCGGCGAAACCGUUACCAUUACUGAGUUUAGUAAUGGUAAGGGUUCUGUUGCCUUUUCUCAACAAACAUCUGGAUGCGAGAGGACGAAGAACAUCUCAAGUGAAAAAGAAAACUUCUGAUGUAUUAAACUAAUUUAUUAACUUUUAAUCUAAAGCACUGAUAGCCUAUAAAUGUGUUAUUUUGCAUACUUUUAAUAAAUGCCACUGAAUAUGAAA